CACAAAGGUCGAGGAUUCACUAAGACAACUUGGGGAUCUGCUGCCUGGUGAACGCUCCGUUGCUGGUGGCUGUCAUUCUCAGAGAACAGUCACUGUCCCCUUCGCUCUCCUCCCUCCAGAACUAAAGUCCUCUGCUGUGCCACCAGGCAUGCUGUACAGCCUCAGAGAAACAACUCAUUAGAUUCUGGACUUUUGGCACUAGGGACCCUGUCAGGUAGGCCGAGGACGGAGAGAGGAGCCGUGGCUGCAUCCUGCCUCCAGAUCUGCUCUCCAGCAAGCCGUCUUCGGUCUUCACUGGGCUUUGCCUUUACCAAGUGCAGAGCCAAGGGGGUCUUACUACACAGUCUUGGCUGGCUUAGAACUUGAUGUGUGAACCAAAUUGACCUCAGAAUCACAGGGAUCCGCCUGACUCAGCCUCCCGAGUGCUGGUAUUAAAGGUGUUCACCACCAUGGCUGGACUUCUUUCUUCUUUUUAAAGGUUAAACAAUCUUCCAUUGGAGAGCAAGUUAUCACAUCCAGCUAUAGCAUUGGAAGAAAACAGCAUUGAAAGAAAAGCAUUGGAAGACAAAUUUUAAAUGCUUAUUUGAAAAACAGUUAUUUUAUGUGAAUGAAUGUUUCACCUGCUUGCAUGUCUAUGACGUAUAUCCACACCAGAUGCCAAAAGAGGCCAGAAGAUCAAUAUAUCAAUACCAGAUGCUAAUAGAGGCCUGAGGGCAUCAGAUCCUCUGGAACUAGAGUUACAGACAUGUACACACAUGGCCGUGUGCUAGGAUUUCACUCUGGUCUGUCCUUCUGGUCCCCACCUUUUGAGAGUGACCCAUGUUGGUGUGCAUAUCUACUCUACUACCUGGGCAAACAGCACUGUAUUUCCAUCUGCUCAGGAAAGUGUUUGAAAAACUCAUGCCAGAGACCAGCAUGUCAUGCCUCCAUGUUUGUCUAACUUGAGAGUCAAAACAAGGCUCAUAGAAUCAGAUAAGCGCGUCGCUGGGACAGGCUUUGGCGAGCAUGCAGUCCUGAGAGAAGAAGCCAGAGGUCACACAGCUAGAAGCAGGAUGAGGCAGGACAAGCAUUUCUCCAAAGCCGAUCUCAGACUGUGGAAGCACUGUUCCUGCCCAAGAAGUUGGGAGAGCCAGGGGCCAGCAUCGUGGACAGCACACAGAGCAUUUUUACCCCUUAGAAAUCUCAGAUACUGUUGCGAAACCUUGUGGACUUCUGGAAUGAAUGACCCCAGACUACUAUGCUGUUGGAGUCCACGGACUUGCUUACCCUCAUUUCUUUGGAGUGCAGAGUGCCCUAAAUUCUCAAGUCUAAGGAGGAGGUAGCACACUGCUUUCCUUCCCUUGCCAUGGAUAACUGAGAUUCAUUGAAUGGAUCAUGACACAGAAGGGGGUUGAGGGCUGGGACAGCUGCCAGGGCAGGUGUCCUUUCUGGCUUGGAUGGUGUUAACAUGAUUUGGGCAACUUCUGUGGAGUCACUGGCUCUGGGGUCACUUCUCAAGAGGUAGCGGGGAGCUUGGGAGUGGGGGCUUGUUCUCCCACCCCACUGCCCUAAUUAACAAGUUGGGUCCUUUCCAGGUCCUUCCUUGGUUCUCCUGGGGCUGAGUUCCACUGGGGGCCGGCAGACAGUCUUACUUUAAGCAGCAUAUUGAUCUUCACAUGGGUCUAGGGCCCCUCUUGGGGGAGCACUCUCUGUUUUAAGUGCAUGCAGUUACUCUCUUGACUGGCUUGUAAACAGCUUUUAAUGGGGCUAUUAGUGUAAAAGGACAGGAAACUUUCAAAAACAACCUCUUAAAUAUUCAUGAGGAUGUUAAAUCUGGCGCUUAAUCACCAGUGUUUGCACACAGCUAACAGGGAGGGAGGACAGCUAACAGGCUGCCUUCACUCUGGGCAAUUGACAGGACAUUAAUAAACGCUCUUACAGUCAUGAUGAAU